AGGACGAACGCUGGCGGCGUGCCUAACACAUGCAAGUCGAACGCGCUCCAUUCGGUAGCAAUACUGAUGAAGAGUGAGUGGCGAACGGGUGAGUAACACAUGAGCAACCUGCCCCGAAGACUGGGACAACACCGGGAAACCGGUGCUAAUACCGGAUAUCCCUAUCGGACCGCAUGAUCUGAUAAGGAAAUGGAUUCCGCUUCGGGAGGGGCUCGUGGCCUAUCAGCUAGUUGGUGAGGUAACGGCUCACCAAGGCAUCGACGGGUAGCUGGUCUGAGAGGACGAUCAGCCACACUGGGACUGAGACACGGCCCAGACUCCUACGGGAGGCAGCAGUGGGGAAUCUUGCGCAAUGGGCGAAAGCCUGACGCAGCAACGCCGCGUGGAGGACGAAGGCUUUCUGAGUUGUAAACUCCUUUCAGCAGGGACGAUAGUGACGGUACCUGCAGAGAAGCACCGGCCAACUACGCGCCAGCA
rnacentral:rRNA from 1 species